rnacentral:rRNA from 1 species
GGCGUGCCUAAUACAUGCAAGUCGAACGCUUCUUUUUCCACCGGAGCUUGCUCCACCGGAAAAAGAGGAGUGGCGAACGGGUGAGUAACACGUGGGUAACCUGCCCAUCAGAAGGGGAUAACACUUGGAAACAGGUGCUAAUACCGUAUAACAAUCGAAACCGCAUGGUUUUGAUUUGAAAGGCGCUUUCGGGUGUCGCUGAUGGAUGGACCCGCGGUGCAUUAGCUAGUUGGUGAGGUAACGGCUCACCAAGGCCACGAUGCAUAGCCGACCUGAGAGGGUGAUCGGCCACAUUGGGACUGAGACACGGCCCAAACUCCUACGGGAGGCAGCAGUAGGGAAUCUUCGGCAAUGGACGAAAGUCUGACCGAGCAACGCCGCGUGAGUGAAGAAGGUUUUCGGAUCGUAAAACUCUGUUGUUAGAGAAGAACAAGGAUGAGAGUAACUGUUCAUCCCUUGACGGUAUCUAACCAGAAAGCCACGGCUAACUACGUGCCAGCAGCCGCGGUAAUACGUAGGUGGCAAGCGUUGUCCGGAUUUAUUGGGCGUAAAGCGAGCGCAGGCGGUUUCUUAAGUCUGAUGUGAAAGCCCCCGGCUCAACCGGGGAGGGUCAUUGGAAACUGGGAGACUUGAGUGCAGAAGAGGAGAGUGGAAUUCCAUGUGUAGCGGUGAAAUGCGUAGAUAUAUGGAGGAACACCAGUGGCGAAGGCGGCUCUCUGGUCUGUAACUGACGCUGAGGCUCGAAAGCGUGCAGAGCAAACAGGAUUAGAUACCCUGGUAGUCCACGCCGUAAACGAUGAGUGCUAAGUGUUGGAGGGUUUCCGCCCUUCAGUGCUGCAGCUAACGCAUUAAGCACUCCGCCUGGGGAGUACGACCGCAAGGUUGAAACUCAAAGGAAUUGACGGGGGCCCGCACAAGCGGUGGAGCAUGUGGUUUAAUUCGAAGCAACGCGAAGAACCUUACCAGGUCUUGACAUCCUUUGACCACUCUAGAGAUAGAGCUUCCCCUUCGGGGGCAAAGUGACAGGUGGUGCAUGGUUGUCGUCAGCUCGUGUCGUGAGAUGUUGGGUUAAGUCCCGCAACGAGCGCAACCCUUAUUGUUAGUUGCCAUCAUUCAGUUGGGCACUCUAGCAAGACUGCCGGUGACAAACCGGAGGAAGGUGGGGAUGACGUCAAAUCAUCAUGCCCCUUAUGACCUGGGCUACACACGUGCUACAAUGGGAAGUACAACGAGUCGCGAAGUCGCGAGGCUAAGCUAAUCUCUUAAAGCUUCUCUCAGUUCGGAUUGCAGGCUGCAACUCGCCUGCAUGAAGCCGGAAUCGCUAGUAAUCGCGGAUCAGCACGCCGCGGUGAAUACGUUCCCGGGCCUUGUACACACCGCCCGUCACACCACGAGAGUUUGUAACACCCGAAGUCGGUGAGGUAACCUUUUGGAGCCAGCCGCCUAAG